GCGCUCGUAGCUCAACGGACAGAGCAUCUGACUACGACUCAGAGGGCUGGAGGUUCGAAUCCUCCCGAGCGCA
rnacentral:tRNA from 1 species